GAACCUGAAACCCUGCACUUACAAGCUGUAGGAGCACAUUUCUUGUGUGACUGCGUACUUUUUGUAGAACGGGCCAACGAGUUACGUUGUGUAGCAAGGUUAAGCACUUAAGGUGUGGAGCCGUAGCGAAAGCGAGUCUUAAAUGGGCGUCUAGUUACCCGACGUAGACCCGAAACCAGGCGACCUAUCCAUGAGCAGGUUGAAGCGAAAGUAAAAUUUCGUGGAGGACCGAACCCACGUACGUUGAAAAGUGCGGGGAUGACUUGUGGAUAGCGGUGAAAUUCCAAUCGAGCCUGGAGAUAGCUGGUUCUCCCCGAAAUAGCUUUAGGGCUAGCCUCAAGAUUAGAGAAGCGGAGGUAGAGCACUGAAUGUCCUAGGGGGUAUUGCACUUACCGAAGACUAUCAAACUCCGAAUGCCGUAUUCUUUUGCUUGGGAGUCAGACUAUGGGUGAUAAGAUUCAUAGUCAAGAGGGCAACAGCCCAGAUCGUCAGCUAAGGUCCCUAAAUGUAAGUUAAGUGGUAAAGGAUGUGGAAUUGCACAGACAACCAGGAUGUUGGCUUAGAAGCAGCCACUCAUUUAAAGAGUGCGUAAUAGCUCACUGGUCGAGUGAUUCUGCGCCGAAAAUUUCCGGGGCUAAAACUUACUACCGAAGCUACGGCAUCAUUAUGAUGGGUAGGGGAGCUUUCUAUACGGGUUGAAGCAUGACCGUAAGGACAUGUGGACUGUAUAGAAGUGAGAAUGUUGGCAUGAGUAGCGAGAUGUGGGUGAGAAUCCCACAGGCCGUAAACCCAAGGUUUCCAGGGGAAGGUUCGUCCGCCCUGGGUUAGUCAGGACCUAAGCCGAGGCCGAAAGGCGUAGGUGAUGGACAACAGGUUGAUAUUCCUGUACCACCAAUAACCGUUUGAGAAAUGGGAUGACACAGUAGGAUAAGCUAACCGCACUGUUGGUUAUGUGCGGGCAAGUAUUGAGGCAGUUCCGAUAGGCAAAUCCGUCGGAAUAAUGCUGGGGUACGAUGCGGAGCGAAAUUAAGUAGCGAAGUAGCUGAUUUCACACUGUCGAGAAAAGUCUCUAUCGAGGUUAAAGGUGCCUGUACCGCAAACCGACACAGGUGGGUGAGGAGAGUAUCCUAAGGCCAGCGAGAGAACUGUUGUUAAGGAACUCGGCAAAAUGACCCCGUAACUUAGGGAGAAGGGGUGCCUUCGAAAGAAGGCCGCAGAGAAUAGGCCCAAGCGACUGUUUACCAAAAACAUAGGUUUCUGCUAAGUCGCAAGACGAUGUAUAGGAGCUGACGCCUGCCCGGUGCUGGAAGGUUAAGGGGAUCUGUUAGAGCAAUCGAAGCAGUGAACUUAAGCCCCAGUAAACGGCGGCCGUAACUAUAACGGUCCUAAGGUAGCGAAAUUCCUUGUCGGGUAAGUUCCGACCCGCACGAAAGGCGUAACGAUUUGGGCACUGUCUCAACAACAGACUCGGUGAAAUUGUAAUACCGGUGAAGAUGCCGGUUACCUGCGACAGGACGGAAAGACCCCAUGGAGCUUUACUGUAGCUUGACAUUGAGUCUCGGUGCUACAUGUACAGGAUAGGUGGGAGACUAUGAAGCAUGGACGUCAGUCUGUGUGGAGUCAUCCUUGGGAUACCACCCUUGUAGUACUGGGAUUCUAACCAGAGGCCAUGAAUCUGGUCUUGGGACACUGUCAGGUGGACAGUUUGACUGGGGCGGUCGCCUCCCAAAAAGUAACGGAGGCGCUCAAAGGUUCUCUCAGUACGGUCGGAAAUCGUACGAAGAGUGUAAAGGCAAAAGAGAGCUUGAUUGCAAGACAUACAGGUCGAGCAAGGACGAAAGUCGGACUUAGUGAUCCGGUGGUUCCGCAUGGAAGGGCCAUCGCUCAACGGAUAAAAGCUACCCUGGGGAUAACAGGCUGAUCUCCCCCAAGAGUCCACAUCGACGGGGAGGUUUGGCACCUCGAUGUCGGCUCAUCACAUCCUGGGGCUGUAGUAGGUCCCAAGGGUUGGGCUGUUCGCCCAUUAAAGUGGUACGCGAGCUGGGUUCAGAACGUCGUGAGACAGUUCGGUCCCUAUCCGUCGCAGGCGUAGGAAAUUUGAGGAGACCUGUCCUUAGUACGAGAGGACCGGGAUGGACGUACCGCUGGUGUACCAGUUGUUCUGCCAAGGGCAUGGCUGGGUAGCUAAGUACGGAAAGGAUAAGCGCUGAAAGCAUCUAAGCGCGAAGCCCACUUCAAGAUAAGAUUUCCCACCGCAAGGUUAAGAUCCCAGGAAGACUACCUGGUUGA
rnacentral:rRNA from 1 species